UCCCAGGUGAGCUCGCGCGGAGUGUGAAUGGAUGAAAUUGAGACUGGACCAGAGCGGUGCGCGUGACACUGCGCAUGCGUGACGUCAAAAUAGCACGUCCAGGAAGUGCUGAGGUGUGCUUCAUUCGCGCUGUUGAACUUCAAAUGAAAGGCCUGAAGUCCUGCUAUAACAGAUGCAGGCUUCACUAGAUUGGGUGGCGCUUCAGUGCUUCUCUGCAACACAGUGUGUGUGUGUGUAGAGGCUUAAAGACUGAACCAUGAAGUUGAUAGUGGAUGUAGUGUGGAUGGUGUGGGGCAUUGGGGCAUCUGUGUACGACUACUUCCACACCAGCGCCAUGGAAGAAAGGAUCCACAGUCUGGAGAACGCCCUCACCAUCCACCAGUUCUUCAUCAUGUUCCUCACCGCAAGCCUCGUCCUGCUCAUCUCGUACCUCAUCUUUAAGAAAAAAUGACACGCCAGAGACUCGCCGCGAGCCUCAAGGAACCACAAGACAGACAGACAGACAAACGCCAUGUUCCUCAGUGUAUGAACAUGACCGAUGCAUAGAUUGUCUGAGAGCGUUUUCAAGGAUUUUAUAAUAUUUGAAAGAAAUACAUUUUUGACACGUGUUUCGAUAAUGUUUCUCAUGUUCUGAGGAAGUACGGGAUUGCCACAUAACUCGGUUAUUCAUUUGACAUAUCUGUUGCAGAUCAUAGUUGCGCUGGGGUCAGUCCCAGCUGAUAAGAAGCAGGGUACACCCAGGAUAGGUUGCCAGUCUAUCACGGAGCUAACACACUCAGAUUUAGACCUAUAGCCAAUUUCGACUUGACCUAAUCCGCAUGUCUUUGGACUGUCGGAGGAAACGGCACGAAGAGAACGUGCAAACGAAAAGGCCCCAUUUGACUGGCAGGUUCAAAUCCAGAACAUGCUUGGUGUGAGGCGACAGUGUUUAAUCAGUGCACUGUCGUGCCACCUGGCAUUUAACUGUGAUCACAAUAUUGCACGAGUCAACUGAUUAUCAGAAGUCUCAAAAACAAUUAGGUUAGAGAUGUAUCGGUACCGAUUUUUUUUUUUUAAACCAAGUUCAAGUCCAUGGUUUUAGCACUUGCACUCUUCGUACUUUAGUUUGCACUGUUUUGUUUUGAUUGCUAUUCAUGAAGUACAUCCAGACUACUGUCAGUUUGUUUUCAUGAGCACAGCAACAUACAGUAGGUUCAAGUCACGUACUACGUGUUCUCAGAUGUUCCUCAUCCGAGCACUUUUUUUUUUAACAAAUAAAUGAGCAGUAUGGGUGUCGAUCCAACAGAUGUUCUGUAACUCAUUCGUUAUUUCACUCUGAUAAAUAUACAAACUCAAAAUUGAUUCACUGCAUUCAUAGUACAAGUAUGAAGCAUAUCAUAGCAAGGCUAAACAAAUCGAGAGAUUUUACUCAGACGAUUUUAUUUUAUUUUAUAAUAACCUGCUCUACACUCACUGUUUGCUUUAAUAGGAACUUGAUUCUAAGAGUCCUGUUCUUGGCUGCAGGAGUGGAACCCAGUGUGGUCUUGUGCUGUUGCAUGUUGAGAUGCUUUUCUGCUUACCACGGUUGUAAAGAGUUGCUAUAUCCUUCCGGCAGCUCAAACCAAUCUGGCCGUUUUCCUCUGAUCUCUCUUAUCAACAAGACAUUUCUUCUCACAGAACUGUCGCUCGCUCACUCAAUGUUUUGGGGGGGGGGUUUUCACACCAUUCUGUGUAAACUCUCGAGACCGUUGUGUGUGAAAACCGCAGAGAUCAGCAGUUUGUAAAAUACUCCAACCAGUCCAUCUGGCUCAGACCAACACCCAUGCCACAGUGAAAGAGAGUCACACUUUGAGAUCACAAUUUUUCCCAUUCUGAUGUUUGACGUGAACAUUAACUGAAGCUUUUGAGUUGUGUCUGUAUGAUUUUGAUGCAUCGUGCUGCUGUCAAAGGAUCGGCUGAUUAGAGAACUGCGUAAAACAGCAGGCAAGCUGGAGCCUAUCCCAGCUGACUACGGGCGAAAGGCGGGGUACACCCUGGACAAGUCGCCAGGUCAUCACGGGGCUGACACAUAGACACAGACAACCAUUCACACAUCUUCACAUUCACACCUACGGUCAAUUUAGAACCACCAGUUAACCUAACCUGCAUGUCUUUGGACUGUGGGGGAAACCGGAGCACCCGGAGGAAACCCACGCGGACACGGGGAGAACAUGCAAACUCCGCACAGAAAGGCCCUCACCGGCCACGGGGCUCGAACCCGGACCUUCUUGCUGUGAGGCGACAGCGCUAACCACUACACCACCGUGCUGCCCGUUGUGUAUAUUUAUUGCAGAUAACUAGAAUUUUUCAGUGUUCACUACGUUUGCAUCAUGGUAAUGAAGACCGUCCUGAGAUUUUUUUUUUUUUUUCACACAAAAGAAACCUUCAGGCCUUCUCUCAGACUUUCUUCUGCCUGAGAAUAUAAGAUAAAUACUAACACAAAGUAAGAAUAUUUACAAUUCAAUACAGCAGUGCAAUAGUGAUUAAAGCGGUGUUUAUUUGAGAAGUGAGAGUUUGGCAGUAGAAUGUGACGUGAGAAACUGGCUAACAGAAAGUGUGUUUGCACUUCCUCAGCGCCGUGUCAUGCUGUGAAACAGGAUACAAAAAGAUGCACUGAAAGAAGUGAAAUAGAAAUUAACAAAAUGUGAAUGGGAGUCAGUAUGGUUUUAGUGACCGCUUCAUGCUUAAUUUUAAGAGUGAAAUCAACAUUUCUUUUUUCCAUUUCUGAAUGUUUUGUUAAAUUCUAUCAGGUGCCAUUCUAACUUGUCAGAAUAGUUUUCUGAUGCUUUUUUUAAAAAUUAUAUUUUCCUUUUUUUUGGGAGGGGGGUCUUGGAUUAUUUAUUGUGUGUGUGUGUUGUCAUACCUAACCACUGAAUUCAUAUGUUUUUAAUUUACGCAGAAAGCAGUUAGACUUGAUUUGUAUAAUACAGAUCAUCUGGUAACAAUUCAAGUGUCCUGUAGUCCAGCAAAAACAUGACGUCCUACGUAUUGUAGGUACUUUGAUUUCAGCUGGAACUCUGACUUUGAACCUUUACACUGUAAUACUUUUUAAUACAGAUAAAUGACUUUGACACCGAAA